ACACUCCCAUCCAGUCUGGUAAGCUCAAACUACCAAGGAAAUACAAACAUAAUUCGCAGAAAAAAAAUUGGCUUUUGUUAAUGAACCAGAACAUAAGUUUUUCGAAUCCCAAUCGAAAGCAAAUAGACCAGUGCAAAUACAAGGCCUUCAGGAUCAAAUAGGGAUACAAAGACACAAGACAGAUGACUAAAACCGGAGAUACAGAAGACAGAACCACAGAACCAGGUUAAAGCGACUUGUUUUCUUGCGCCUAGCGACACCACCGUUGCAGGUAGCCGCGGCGCCCAGUGAGCUGCCGGGACCGUUGUGGCUCAGCGCCGGCACGCCCCACGAAUGUGCGCCAGCCCCUGCGUCCGCCGAUGGCCAAGCGUCGCCGCCAGAGCUCAAUGGCGUGCAGGACGCCGCCGAUGACUCCACAUCUGGCGCCAGUGUGCCCCCAACACCUGCGCUUCAGGGACCGGCGGCUCGACGCCGCACCCCGCGCGUGCACCCCCGACCACAUCUGGAGUGCUCCCCGUGCCGGCCGAUCUGCAAAAAUCGGUCCGCAAAAGGCGACGGGGCCAUGGAGGAAGGGAGAUAGCACAGACCAGCGCGGUCAACCGGCAAGAACAGAGCCGCAGAGUUUUACUAACCUAUCGCCC
rnacentral:lncRNA from 1 species